rnacentral:tRNA from 1 species
GGGCUGGGCUCAGUGGUAGAGUGCCCACCUAGCACGUGCAAGGCCCUGGGUUCAAUCCUCAGUACCACA